GCAAAGUGUUACUAUCAGUAACAUACCUUAACUUCAUUUCCUUAUUAAAUAGCUACUUCUAUGGAAGCUAGAUUCCAGAAAUAAAAAUACAAAUUUCAGCUGACCCCUGACGCCACAAUUCUAAGGCUAGUUGGCAAAUUUCUGAAUAAUGUAUGUAGCAACUGGCAGGUGAUUACAAAAG
rnacentral:sRNA from 1 species